rnacentral:misc_RNA from 1 species
GAUGAAGAACGUAGCGAAAUGCGAUAAGUAAUGCGAAUUGCAGAAUCCGUGAGUCAUCGAAUCUUUGAACGCACAUUGCGCCCGUCAGUAUUCUGACGGGCAUGCCUGUCCGAGCGUCAUUUCAACCCUCAAGCACUGCUUGGCGUUGGCGGAUUGCGUGCCCUCGCGGCGCUGCAACCGCCCAAAUACAGUGGCGGUCCCGCUGCGGCUCCCUUUGCGUAGUAACUCACCUCGCACUGGACCGGGCGGCGGCCUGCCGUAAAACCCCAACUCACGAAAUGUUGACCUCGGAUCAGGUAGGAAUACCCGCUGAACUUAAGCAUAUCAAUAAGCGGAGGA